UACGUAGGGUGCAAGCGUUGUCCGGAAUUAUUGGGCGUAAAGAGCUCGUAGGCGGUUUGUCGCGUCGAAUGUGAAAACCCGGGGCUCAACUCCGGGCCUGCAUUCGGUACGGGCAGACUAGAGUUCGGUAGGGGAGACUGGAAUUCCUGGUGUAGCGGUGAAAUGCGCAGAUAUCAGGAGGAACACCGGUGGCGAAGGCGGGUCUCUGGGCCGAUACUGACGCUGAGGAGCGAAAGCGUGGGGAGCGAACAGG
rnacentral:rRNA from 1 species